GACGAACGCUGGCGGCGUGCUUAAUACAUGCAAGUCGAACGGAAAGGCCCUGCUUUUGCUGGGUGCUCGAUUGGCGAACGGGUGAGUAACACGUGAGUAACCUGUCCCUGACUUUGGGAUAACUUCAGGAAACUGGGGCUAAUACCGGAUAUGAGCUCCUGCAGCAUGUUGUGGGUUGGAAAGUUUCGGCGGUUCGGGAUGGACUCGCGGCUUAUCAGCUAGUUGGUGUGGUAGUGGCUUACCAAGGCUAUGACGGGUAGCCGGCCUGGGAGGCUGACCGGCCACAUGGGGACUGAGAUACGGACCAGACUCGUACGGGAGGCAGCGGUGGGGAAUAUUGCGCAAUGGGCGGAAGCCUGAUGCAGCAACGCCGCGUGCGGGAUGACGGGCUUCGAGUUGUAAACCGCUUUCGCCUGUGACGAGGAGUGAGUGACGGUAAUGGGUAAAGAAGCACCGGCUAACUACGUG
rnacentral:rRNA from 1 species